UACAGAGGGGGCAAGCGUUGUUCGGAAUUACUGGGCGUAAAGGGCGCGUAGGCGGCCCGCUAAGUCGAACGUGAAAUCCCCGAGCUCAACUCGGGAACUGCGUCCGAUACUGGCGGGCUUGAAUCCGGGAGAGGGAUGCGGAAUUCCAGGUGUAGCGGUGAAAUGCGUAGAUAUUGGGAAGAACACCGGUGGCGAAGGCGGCCAUCUGGACCACAACUGACGCUGAGGCGCGAAAGCGUGGGGAGCAAACAGG
rnacentral:rRNA from 1 species